rnacentral:rRNA from 1 species
UUCGGGGUUAGUGGCGGACGGGUGAGUAACACGUGGGAACGUGCCCUUUGGUUCGGAACAACACAGGGAAACUUGUGCUAAUACCGGAUAAGCCCCCUUUCUUUAGCGAGGGAGGGGGGAAAGAUUUAUUGCCAUUGGAGCGGCCCGCGUUGGAUUAGGUAGUUGGUGAGGUAAAGGCUCACCAAGCCUGCGAUCCAUAGCUGGUCUGAGAGGAUGAUCAGCCACAUUGGGACUGAGACACGGCCCAAACUCC